rnacentral:rRNA from 1 species
CCAGAGAACUUAGCAGAGAUGCUUUGGUGCCUUCGGGAACUCUGAGACAGGUGCUGCAUGGCUGUCGUCAGCUCGUGUUGUGAAAUGUUGGGUUAAGUCCCGCAACGAGCGCAACCCUUAUCCUUUGUGCCAGCGGCUCGGCCGGGAACUCAAAGGAGACUGCCGGUGAUAAACCGGAGGAAGGUGGGGAUGACGUCAAGUCAUCAUGGCCCUUACGGCCAGGGCUACACACGUGCUACAAUGGCGCAUACAAAGAGAAGCGACCUCGCGAGAGCAAGCGGACCUCAUAAAGUGCGUCGUAGUCCGGAUUGGAGUCUGCAACUCGACUCCAUGAAGUCGGAAUCGCUAGUAAUCGUAGAUCAGAAUGCUACGGUGAAUACGUUCCCGGGCCUUGUACACACCGCCCGUCACACCAUGGGAGUGGGUUGCAAAAGAAGUAGGUAGCUUAACCUUCGGGAGGGCGCUUACCACUUUGUGAUUCAUGACUGGGGUGAAGUCGUAACAAGGUAAGCGUAGCGAG